GUUAGCUUAGUGUAAUAUUCGCACGUAGGCUUUUCAAGCCAAAAGCGCUAAUUAUUAGCAGCUAACC
rnacentral:tRNA from 1 species